CGCGCUCUAUGAGUGACAAACACCGAGAUAUAUUGCGCAGGAACUCGGUCAGCCUCAGCCACCCUCUACAGCGUGUCUCUUCCGACCGCGUCGAACCGUAACACCGGCCGCGCGAAAGGAAAGCGAACGGGGGCAGCCGAGCAGGUAGUUUGACUGCUCCCGCAGCAGUCAAAGCUCGCGCGCGUGACGCUCCAGCGCAGCUCCGCGGCGUGUGCGGCGCAGGGCAGCCGGUGCCGGCAGCGAGCUGCUCGUCAGAGCGGUCGCGGCUGCCGUUCGAGAACGGGGGCAGCGAGCAGCGGCUCCUUCUCGAAGCGCGAGCGAGUGCCGUUCAAGCGCGCGCCGCUCCCUCCAUCGGUCGCCGGCGGCGCGCGAGGCGGUGUGGUGCCGGCGGCUCGCGCCGUCCGCCGCCCGACCUCAGUCGCCGUCGCGGACAGCGGCCGGCAUGCGGAGCGCAUCCGGCACUGGCGGCAGCUCCAACGCCAGCACUGGACUCGUCACUCAGAGCUACGACGUGUGGUUCGAUGUCGAAGCCGCGACCACUUCCGCCACCGCCGCCGCGGCGGUCGUCGACGGUCCGACGCCCGUGCACCUUCUUUGCACCAGCCUCGCGGCGACUGUCGGACUCGUGCUCAACGCGUACAUCCUCGUGGUUCUCUUCUGGCAGCGCCAGUUCCGCACGGCCAACAGCCUCCUCCUUCUGCACCUAGCCUUCGUGGACAGCGUGUUCUGCCUGCUCGUGCUCACCUCGAACGCCGUGUUCGGUGGACUCUCGGCAUCCGCAGAGGUGAUCGACGCCUCCGGUGCGUGCUACGUGCAGGGCGUUCUAUGGGCCGUCGUGCCCGCCGUGGCGGUGUGGACGCUGUGCGGCCUCAGCUGCGACCGGUACGCGGCCAUCGCGAGCCCACUCCACUACUCGCGCCUUGUGAACACGCGGCGGACGUGCGCGUUCCUCGGCGUGUCCUGGAUUGUCGCGGCGGGUGCGGCUGUGCCCCCGCUCGUAGGAGUGUGUCCUUACUCCUACGGUCCGUCGCGAUGUGUGUGCGUUGCCGCGUGCGCCGGCAGCGGCGCGGACUUGCAAGCCCCGGCUUCAUCGCCCGUGGGACUGGGAUACGCUCUAAGCUACGUGUGGCUGGCGCUCGUCUUUCCCGCGUCGCUCAUCGCCGCAAGCAACCUGCAGGUGCUUCUCAUCGCACGGACGCACAGGCAUCGCAUCGUGGCAGCCAUCUACGAGGUGACCCUUCGGGCCCAGGCGACGGUGACGCACCAGCGCAAUCCGUGGUACCUGGCCCGGUUUCGGGGCCGCAGCGCGUUGCUCUCAACGGCGCAGCUGGUCGCCUCGCUGGCACUCUUGACGGCGCCGCAUUUUGCGCUUCUGCUGUGGGAGGCCUCGACGGGACGCCGCACUCCACCACUGCUGGGCUCGGCCACUACGGCUCUGCUGUGCUGGAGCCCGUGUGCUCAUGCCUACGUGUACGGUGUGCGCAGCCGCGCACUGCGGCAGACUUUCAAGGACCUACUACGGAGGCAUGUCUACAGGCAGCAGGUGUGCCGCGAGGCUGCCCGGCGUGCAUCAGCUGCCAACGGGGGCACGCCCGGUCGGCCCAAGCUCAUCCGUCGCUUCUCGGCACCCGACGGCCUGGGCUCUUCCUCGGUGGUGAUGAGCAACGCGCGGCGGGCACUGCCGCGGAGGGCGUCCGAGAAGUGCAUGCUCCUGCGCACGGGCAGCAGCGGCCUGUCGGCAGCAGGCAGCGGUGGCGGCGCGGGCGCCGCCAUGCUGUGCACGACGAUGCCUUCGUCGGCACCGUCGUCCCGCCGCUCCCUACUGAUGCUCGAACCCGCGACCAAGCCCAGCAGCCGGGCGUCCGUGUUUCCUUUGAUACUGGAGCACGGCAUGAGCGAAGAGGACGAGCGCGGGCCGCCCGGGGGUUGCCUGCGGACCGACGACGAAGACGACGACAUGUCGCGCUCGAGGUCGCCACCGUCCAGGGCGACGCCCGACUCCACAGAUACGAGGUCAGUGUGGCCGAUGGCGAAUCCUGUGCGCCUCAUGCAGGGGGUGAGACGAGUCAGAACGAACUGGAACGCCCGUUUGCCUAUUUUCACAUUCAACACUUUGACUACUGUACGUGAGGUCAGCGUGGUUUGAGCCCGGCACACUGAGCUCCUACGCCGAAAUAUGUUUGUUAGAUUUUCAACUGUAAAUGCUUUGUACAUCCUGCUCUUGAAGUACAUCCAGGAACACGUAAUGCGGAAACAUGUGAAGCUCGACUAGCAUAUCCAAACUGCUAGUCACAAGCACACCUCUCUGACAGUGAACGUGGGGAAGGGGGGAGGGGGUUGUUGUCCACUAAAUGGGCGCAAAAAGGUGACGCGCGAAUAUUUUUUGUGCAUGAUCGCUACCGUCAAGGCUAAUUUAUUGCUUGUUUCUGUAUAGUGUGCCCUACGCUGUUGACACCAAAUAAGCCGUCAUCAUUCAAGUGUAUGCUCUGCGCAUUCAAGUUCAAAUUGUAUUUCAUGCCAUGAUUGCAUAUAACUAUAACCCCGUUUUUCACAGCGGUUGGAAGCGCAGCGCCCAAGUACCGACUCUCAUACGGGUAAACACCACGAUAGUGGCAUGCUUUCUAUACUUAGCUGUCUGUGUUCGCAGCACGCCCGCUGCCUCCCCAUUCCUCCUUUCCUUGCAUGUCCUACAAAUGGCGUUUGUAUCUUCCGAAUGGUGAAUUCCAAACUACUUAUCUAACAGUGGGUAGCGUGUAACAUCCGCCAGAAAUGACGUAGUACGUGAAGACAGCUGAUCAUUGAUUCUUGCUCAUUCGUCUGUACAGCUACAAGAAGAAAACGUGCCUAAACUACCAUUGCGUUUUUUUUUUUACAUCCGCAUUUUUAUUCUCACGGCGCGUGCUGCCAGCGCUCCGCUGUGUAGUUCACGUCUGCAUAAGUUUUUCAAGAAGUCUUGCCAUGCAGAACUUACUCAUGCGUUUUUAUAGCGUUGGAUUAGCUUGCAGCCAAAACUCUAAUGCGUAUAAAUGAAACGUCUCCGAGGGAUGUUUCAAAUAGCAUUGUUCCCUCUAGUAACUGUGAGAGCUUGACUUUCAGUUUAUUUUCGACAACCUCGUUACAUUGCAACAGCAACAGAGUAAAACAAUUCUAUGAUGUUUCGAAACAGAAAAUAAAUAAUAAAUUAAAGGAGGCGAAGUUAGCUGCGCACAGUUCCCUCCGGCCAGAACCUGAUGAUUUAACCUGCAAUGAGGAACAACUCGAACGUCGAAAUGUGCUACUGUAAACAGCUCAGAAAUGGGGGGACAGAGAAUGGGUUUAAAACAGACAGCCUUGAUAUCUAUCUCGUUUUCUCGCAGUUUGGGUCAGACAAUAAAUAAUGUGUCUUUGUACCAGCAAGCCUUGCUAGCCACCAAUUUGACGCAGAAAUGCGCUGUAACAUGGUAGCCAGCGCCCAUCAGCUCUCGUAACACGCCAUUAAAAGUCGUAAGGUGCCAUCAGGUUUGUUGUAGCAUACUGAGGUUUUAUUACGAUAACAUUUAUAUGGCCACUCCAGUCGUAUAUAUGUUGUCGGCGUCGCCGUGCGGUUCCGUAUAAAGUCCGAGGGCAGUAACAUCGCCCUGCGCGUCGGACAUGUUCUACGUGCGAGUGAAAACGUGGGAUGGCAGCCGAAGACCUCGGGUCAAGCGUAGAGGAGCCUCGUCUUCCAUUGCACGAAAGGCGCAUGAGGGGUCUCGGAGAAGAGGUUGCCUGGCUGCGUGAGCAACUGCGUACUUUCUUAUGCCGGGCGCAGUCGCGAGCGUCUUAUCUCAACAAGGAUCAGCAGAUAGCGCAUACCUCAUCACUGCUUCGUUAUGACCGUUAAGUUCGCGUUGAAGCCAUAAACGGAACGAAGGUCGUUUCGCUCGCUACAGCGACCGCGUUUCUACGCCAGCGUUUCGUUGAGUUUCGCCAGGUCGAAUACUAAAGAUGGUGCCUGCUUGCCUUCGUAUAACAUUCCAAUUUGUUGCUAUCGCAUUCCUUGCUUCUGCCUUGCGGCGAAACGGUGACUUCUUUUUCUUUUUUUUUGACAACCGUAUCUUUGAUAUUCUCACGUUCCCAACGCGAUCCCUUUCUCUUAUCUCAGUUGUCUCUCUCUUUUGCUCGUCAUUGUCUUUAAGGUACACUCUCGGAUCCCCCAUUUCCUCUUCUCUAUCAGUUUCCUUUAAAAUUGCCAACAAUACGAAUUCCUAUGCGCGGAAAUGUGCACGCUUCCGUCGGCACACCAUUUCGGCUUUCCUUAUCGCAUCUUACGACAGCACAGCGUCCUGCGUAAAUAUACAGAAUGCCUCGGCUGUUGGAAAUGCGGUGUCACUGGCGCACUAGUUACCACGGCAGGGGAUGGGAUCCUAGCUAGCUGAGGUAUUAUGCACUGCGUGGCAGAUUGGACCACUGUCUACAUCACUGCAACAACGUUUUCUUCUAUGCUGAAUCAUCAUGUCUCGCAUUCUGAGUCCACUGUUAUUUGCGCAGCACGUACAGUGCAUGACUGUUCGCCGGUGGCGAAAUUUAUAGACGGCCUACUUUUUAUUCAUACUUUGCCCUCACGGCUUCAGAUGAUGCUCUUCAAACUGCUUUUUGUAUCAAUUAUUAGCCCUUUAUUUGCCGUUAAAUACAUAUAACAUACUGUAAGACAUACAUGUUACGCUUUAGCAGGAUAAGAAUACUAAUGAAGCUAUGUCUUGUGAUUUCAAAUGUACUAAAGGCGAAUAUUUCGUGUUACAUUACAGUGCAGCCUUAAGGUACAACCGUCAGUAAGUUUUGUAUCACAGUUUCGUGUUAGGGUUACGUAUUGUACGUAUAUUGCGAGCGUUUCAAUUUAAUCAUAAUCUAGAGGUAUCCAUUUCAAUGCUAAAUAAAUUUGCUUCGUUGUGGACGGUAAUAACGCAACUCUUGCAAUAAAUUGUUGCAUGGACCUCUCACAACAUCGCUAAAUUUGAGUAAGAAAAUCUCCAAACAACACAGCGAAAUAGAACUGCCUUGUAAUAUACGGACCCAUGAUUGCACCUGAGAUGAAAAAAAUGUAAUGCUGUAGAAGACUACCAUGCUGCCUUUUCAGCAUGGAACCCUGCACCAUUUUUCAGUUUUCGUGUGAUACCCGAAUUGUAUACCCUCAGGCUUGCUGACAAGUGUGCUCAAAUGCUUCGCAUUUAAGAACUAUCAUUAUCACUGUCUCUGUCAUAGUCAAAAUUGAUACUUUCGCCUUCACGCUCCGCUUUCUGAAUACUUUCUCUGUAGCUGAGUAAACGCGCUUUUAAAGUACGCAAGCCAAGUCGACUUGGCAUUUUGAAAAGCUGAAACAACGCACUACGAACGCUAACAUUGGGAAACGACAUGUUGAAACAACAGUCAUAUUUUUCCAUGUAGGCUGUUUUUGUUUUGAGUGUGCUUGCUAUAUCUCAGUGCGAAUCGCAGUCACGUACGAGAGCAUUCGAUUUUAUACAGCGUGUUGCGAGACUCCAGAGAUCAAGAUUUUGCUGCCAUCGACGCUUGCAUUCCUCUCCGCGUUCUUGCCCUCCGUGGUUCGUUUCGCUCAGUCGCGUUCGCGAUCUGAGAUACAUUGCAUAGAUACAUGCCCAAGUUCUCGUACCGCAAAGAGUAAAAAUAUUACAGCGUUUAUGGUAUGAUUCGCGUCACCUCAGUUACCUUCGAUUCUACAUUGUCACGUGGCUGUUGUGUACGUAAGCGACCCGGUUAUGAUGACUAUCUAGUAUGCAUACGUAGGUCUUGCGAGAUAGCUGUCGCAUACCACGCACACCUUCCCAGUUCCUUUGUUUACAAGGCACAUAUCACUCGAGUAACUUUCCUGGUAACAUAAAUUUUGUCUUUCCUUAAUGAAGAACCCUUGUGGGAUUGUGACAUGUGCACUAAAACUCUCUCUUUUGGGGUUCUUGUUUUUAUCGUUGUGUAAAAGUGUGUACGCGCUCGUUCCGGUCUGCGGCAAUGUCUGUUCACAUUGAAUUUCACUUUUCUUCAUUAUCGUUCACUACUGUGUACAUCCUAUGCCAUCGACAUCACUUUUGUUUAGACAUUGUACUGUUAUUGUUGUGUUACAGCGUUUGUGUUUGUUUUUCGUACAGUCGCCAACUUAAGUUAUUGUUUGUAUUUCAAUGUCAUUUGCUUGUACGGAAGCGUAAGUGGUACUCAUGUUUAACAUUGUUUUAAUUAAUUAUUUUUUUGCUUCCACUUGUUAUGUUUUUUAUUUUCUAUGCAACUUAGACAAGUCCCAGGCGCAGUGUACUUAUGCAAGAUCAAGAUAGUUAAGACGCAGCCGGCGGCGAAUGGAGUUGAGGACACGAAAGACUCAACGUCUUUAAUCUUUGUAAUAUCUGCGU